UACGAAGGGGACUAGCGUUGUUCGGAAUCACUGGGCGUAAAGCGCACGUAGGCGGAUUCGUAAGUUAGGGGUGAAAUCCCGGGGCUCAACCUCGGAACUGCCUUUGAUACUGCGGGUCUCGAGUCCGAUAGAGGUGAGUGGAAUUCCUAGUGUAGAGGUGAAAUUCGUAGAUAUUAGGAAGAACACCGAUGGCGAAGGCGGCCUACUGGAUCGUCACUGACGCUGAGGUGCGAAAGCGUGGGGAGCAAACAGG
rnacentral:rRNA from 1 species